AUGCCCCAUACCAAGAUCCUUCACCUUACCCUGCUUACACUGUCCGGAAUCCUAGUCCCUUUUGUAAAAACUGAAUAUCCCCAAGGAGCCAUCCCAACGCUGUGGAAUGAUCCUCCGGAACUGCCAUCAGGCGGAGGCCCGCUAGAGACCACGACCACCGUUCGCUUUUCAGAUUCGCCAGCUUUCCCGCCUUACACUUCCGAUUAUGAGCCAGAGGACACAACACGCCUCCAUCAGCUGGAGAAUGGAAGUGGGUCUCUUGGGCCGGGAGCCAUCGGUGCCAUAGUGAUUGCUGCUCUGCUGGGCACAUCAGUGAUCGUGGCCUUGAUCGUCAUCACUCUGCGAAAGUUUUCUGCCUCCUGAACUCAAUAAAGAUUCUUUCCAUCCCCUAAUUUAUGCUUGU
rnacentral:lncRNA from 1 species